GAUGAACGCUAGCUACAGGCUUAACACAUGCAAGUCGAGGGGCAGCAUGAUUGAAGCUUGCUUCAAUCGAUGGCGACCGGCGCACGGGUGAGUAACACGUAUCCAACCUGCCGAUAACUCGGGGAUGGCCUUUCGAAAGAAAGAUUAAUACCCGAUAGUAUAGUAUUUCCGCAUGGUUUCACUAUUAAAGAACUUCGGUUAUCGAUGGGGAUGCGUUCCAUUAGAUAGUUGGCGGGGUAACGGCCCACCAAGUCAACGAUGGAUAGGGGUUCUGAGAGGAAGGUCCCCCACAUGGGAACUGAGACACGGUCCAAACUCCUACGGGAGGCAGCAGUGAGGAAUAUUGGUCAAUGGACGAGAGUCUGAACCAGCCAAGUAGCGUGAAGGAUGACUGCCCUAUGGGUUGUAAACUUCUUUUAUACGGGAAUAAAGUGGAGUAUGCAUACUCCUUUGUAUGUACCGUAUGAAUAAGGAUCGGCUAACUCCGUG
rnacentral:rRNA from 1 species